rnacentral:rRNA from 1 species
GUGCAGUCGAGCGCGGGAGCGAGCGGAUACCCCUUCGGGGGUGAAGCUCGUGGAACGAGCGGCGGACGGGUGAGUAACACGUGGGCAACCUGCCUGUAAGACCGGAAUAACCCCGGGAAACCGGGGCUAAUGCCGGGUAACACUUUCUUCCGCAUGGAAGAGAGUUAAAAGAUGGCUUCUCGCUAUCACUUACAGAUGGGCCCGCGGCGCAUUAGCUAGUUGGUGAGGUAACGGCUCACCAAGGCAACGAUGCGUAGCCGACCUGAGAGGGUGAUCGGCCACACUGGGACUGAGACACGGCCCAGACUCCUACGGGAGGCAGCAGUAGGGAAUCUUCCGCAAUGGACGAAAGUCUGACGGAGCAACGCCGCGUGAACGAUGAAGGUCUUCGGAUCGUAAAGUUCUGUUGUUAGGGAAGAACAAGUACCGUGCGAAUAGAGCGGUACCUUGACGGUACCUAACGAGGAAGCCCCGGCUAACUACGUGCCAGCAGCCGCGGUAAUACGUAGGGGGCAAGCGUUGUCCGGAAUUAUUGGGCGUAAAGCGCGCGCCAGGCGGUUCCUUAAGUCUGAUGUGAAAGCCCACGGCUCAACCGUGGAGGGUCAUUGGAAACUGGGGAACUUGAGGACAGAAGAGGAGGAGUGGAAUUCCACGUGUAGCGGUGAAAUGCGUAGAUAUGUGGAGGAACACCAGUGGCGAAGGCGACUCUCUGGUCUGUCUCUGACGCUGAGGUGCGAAAGCGUGGGUAGCAAACAGGAUUAGAUACCCUGGUAGUCCACGCCGUAAACGAUGAGUGCUAGGUGUUAGGGGGCUUCCACCCCUUAGUGCUGAAGUUAACGCAUUAAGCACUCCCGCCUGGGGAGUACGGCCGCAAGGCUGAAACUCAAAGGAAUUGACGGGGGCCCGCACAAAGCGGUGGAGCAUGUGGGUUUAAUUCGAAGCAACGCGAAGAACCUUACCAGGUCUUGACAUCCUUGGACCUCCCUAGAGAUAGGGAUUUCCCUUCGGGGACCAAGUGACAGGUGGUGCAUGGUUGUCGUCAGCUCGUGUCGUGAGAUGUUGGGUUAAGUCCCGCAACGAGCGCAACCCCUAAUCUUAGUUGCCAGCAUUCAGUUGGGCACUCUAAGGUGACUGCCGGUGACAAACCGGAGGAAGGCGGGGAUGACGUCAAAUCAUCAUGCCCCUUAUGACCUGGGCUACACACGUGCUACAAUGGAUGGUACAAAGGGCAGCGAAGCCGCGAGGUGUAGCAAAUCCCAUAAAACCAUUCUCAGUUCGGAUUGCAGGCUGCAACUCGCCUGCAUGAAGCCGGAAUCGCUAGUAAUCGCGGAUCAGCAUGCCGCGGUGAAUACGUUCCCGGGCCUUGUACACACCGCCCGUCACACCACGAGAGUUGGCAACACCC